rnacentral:lncRNA from 10 species
GUCCUGCAAGCUUGAUAUACAUUUACACCAAUAAAUCUUGGUAGUUUUCAGGUACCACCAAGAGUUCUUUCGUUGAUUCUCGGGGAUUUUCAAAAUAGACAAUCAUAUAAUCUAAGACUAAUUUAUUUUUCUUCCAAUUAUGUAUUUCUUUUCUUUUUUUUUUUUUUUUUUUGCCCUAAGACUCCCAGUAAGGAGUUGAAUAGAAAUGAUGAGAGAAAACAUUCUUGCUUGCUUUAUUUCUGGUCUUAGGAGCAAAGUAUUCAUUCUCUCACUAGUUAAACCUAAUAUUACUUGUAGAUUUUUGUAGGUGUUUUUUAUGAAGUAGGAAAUCGCCCCUAUUUCUAGUUGACUGGCAGUUUUUGUCAUGAAGGGGUAUAAAAUGUUUUUUGCUAGAUGCACUUUAUGUAUCAAUUUAUGUUACAAUAUGGUUUUUACUCUUUAUUCUACUUAUGUGACAGAUUACAUUGAUUGGUUUUUGAAUUUUUAUCCAGUUUUGCAUACCUGAAAAAAUCCCCACUUGUUCAUGGUAUAUCUACAUAUAUUUAUAUCUAUCUAUGAUAUAUGUAUGUAUAUAUACAUAUACACACAUACAUUAUUGGGCUUGAUAUACUAUUAUUUCUUAAGGAUUUUUGCCUAAAUAAUUGUGAAAGAUAGAAUCUGUAUUUCAUUUAUUUAUUUAUUUAUUUGUAUUAGAGCAAUGCUGACCUCCCAGACUGAGUUAAAAAGUGUUUUCUGUACUAUUAUUUUCUUAAAAAAAUUGUGGAGAAGUGAAAUUUUUUUCUUUAAUAUUUGGUAUAUCUCACUAUUGAAAUAUCUGAGCUGGUUAUUUCUCUCUUUUUUUGGAAGCUUAUUGACUACUAAAUCUAUUACUUGAAUAUAGGCUGAUCCGCAUUAUCUAUUUCUCCUUGUGUGAAAUUUGAUAGUUUGCACCUUUCAAGAAAUUGGUCUAUUUAGUUGGAUUUUUCAAGUUUGUGAGCAUAUAAUUGUUCAUGGUAUUCCUUUAUAAUCGUUUUAAUGACUGUGGUAUCAGUAGUAGAUACCUGUCUUAUAUUUCAGAUGUUGGUUGUUUGUGUCUUCUAUUUCCUUGGUUUUCCUGCCCAGAGGGUUAUCAUUUUUUUUUGGUUUCUUAAAUAAAAUUGCUUUUGAUUUCAUUGAUUAUUUUUCUGUUGUUUUUCUAUUUAUAGCUUCAUUGAUUUCUGCUCUAUUUUCAUUUUUUAUUCUUUCUUUUGGCUUAAAAUAUUCUUUCUCUAGUUUCCUAAAGGGUAAACAUAGAUAAUUGAUUUUAGAUUCUUUUUUCUAACAUAAGCAAUUAAUAGUCUAAAUUUCCCUGUAAGCAUUCCUUUUACUGACUUUUACAUGUUUUGAUAAUUUAUUCUUAU